CCGGAAUGGACGAGCCCCCCUCUCUGCACCCAAUCAUCUGCGAACGUGCCCUACAAAACAUCCGGCCAGCGCCGCCCAAACCCCAGGUGCCCUGACUCUGGCGCUCCCGCCUGGUGAUGACCGACAGAGCGCUGACAGGCACGUCCAGGGCAGGGCUGCUCCCCCGCGUCCCGCCCUCCCCAAACAUCUCUGACGGACGGUUGGCUGCAGCCCAGGAAGCACUUUCGCGCCGUGGCCUGCAUCCCAGCC